GCCUGGGUGGCUCAGGCGGCUGAGCGUCUGACUUCGGCUCAGGUCACGAUCUCACGGUUCGUGGGUUCGAGCCCCGUGUCGGGCU
rnacentral:tRNA from 1 species